UACGGGGGGAGCAAGCGUUGUUCGGAUUUACUGGGCGUAAAGGGCGCGUAGGCGGCCACCGCAAGUCGACUGUGAAAUCUCCGGGCUUAACCCGGAAAGGUCAGCCGAUACUGCGGGGCUAGAGUGCAGAAGGGGCAACUGGAAUUCUCGGUGUAGCGGUGAAAUGCGUAGAUAUCGAGAGGAACACCAGCGGCGAAGGCGGCAUCCUGGACUGGUCCUGACACUCAGGAGCGAAAGCGUGGGGAGCGAUCCGG
rnacentral:rRNA from 1 species